ensembl:lncRNA
AACAUCAUGUUUUUACAACAAAUCGACAGAAAAAGCAAUUCAGUACAUGAUGUUAUGUAGUAAUUACAAUAUUUACGAAUUUAGCACCAAACCAUCACAAUGUAUUGAAAACAUCGACUACAAAAAAAUUGACCACAAAUAUAAAUAGAAUUACAUAAAAUGAACUUACAGUAACAACAUUGUUGGAAGUUAAAUCCAUAAAAAAUUCAGUCCUUGAUACCUAGAGAAAGAGCUGUGGAUCUGGGCGGGAGGCAGAUUGCGUUGUAUAAUCCAGAACGUUGGAUAAGCGAAGGUUGGAUAAGUGAGCCUCUACUGUAUAUUGUUAGGAGCAAUUGACUAUUAGAAAACAAGUGGGGAAAGAAAUUCUAGGUAAUAUUUAUGACAAUCUUUCUGUGGCUUCAGCCUUCUUUGCAAAAAAAAAAAAAGCAUUAGGAUCAAGCAUUAGAAGGGUUAAAAUAAAGAUUAAAAAACCUUCCAAAAUGUCAUAUCUCUGGCACUGUUUGAAAGUGAUACCAUCUGCAUGGUAAGCUCUGUCAUUGCUCUAUUUUUAAUUUCACCUUGAACUGCAGGUGCUCAGUACUAAGGUCAUCAAUAUAGGAAAACUACAAUAUGAGACUACAGUAUGUCUAAAUCUCUCUCUUUUGUCAUACUUCAUAAUGACAUAAUUGGUUGGAUCAGCUAUAACUCUUCAGUAAGCAAACUCAGGUAUUUGGAAUAUAUGAAGCUUUCAAAGAGGUCUCACAUAGGGAGAAAGCCUCCAGUGACUUGUUAGGAAGAAACCUCCUGACCCACCUCCAUGCAGCUUUCUAAGAACUGCCUUCACAGUUAAUCUGCCCUUCAUGAUGUUGGAAGAGUGUGGGGAAAAUCAACUGGAGAUCAAGAGAUGGUAACCUUUCAAUACCCUUUCCUUUUCCUUUUGAGCCUGUUCACUCUCUGCUACUAGAAGGGAAGUCUAAGGGUGAGGGGUAAGAAAGGGGCCUAAGGAGGAUUCUCCUUGAAGUUCCUUUCUCUUUCCCCCCAUAAGCAUUCUAAUAUUUUUUCAAUCCCUGUGAAAUAGUAUAAAAUCCAAACAACCAAGCAGCCUACCUCUAUUUUCAACUGCUGAGGCCAAUAAGAAAUUGAUUAAGUGCUUGGCUAGGUAGGUCCACCUAUGCUUAACUCUUGACCUUCAUGGCUUAUUAACAUUUAAUAAGAAGGGAGUGAUUAUGAUCAGCUGGGUUCAUGAGUUUGUAAAUUACUUCUUGAGGAUGUAAAAGCAUUAAAUCCCGGACCAGGAAAGAAUUAUAGGCCAAUUGCCAGCUUCCUCUUUCUGGACAAACUGUUUACUAGCCAUGUUGUCGAAGGCUUUCAUGGCUGGGAUCACAGGGUUGUUGUAUGUCUUUUGAGCUGUGUGGCCAUGUUCCAGAAGUAUUCUCUCCUGAUUUUUUGCCCACAUCUAUGGCAGGCAUCCUCAGAGGUUGUGAGGUAUGGAGAAACUAGGUAAGGAAAGGAAAGUGUUGGUUCCCAUCAACACUCUGAGGGCAGAGGACAGCUAAUGACUGAACAAAGGAUUUCCCCAGGCAAGAGACAAAACCUUUCCAAUGCUAAUUAGGGUGAUUAAAUGAAACAUUAAUGCUGGCUUCCCAGUGACAAAGGACUCUUGCCACACUCUGGACUCUCCACAGAUAUAUAUUCUUUCCUUUCCUUACCUAGUUUAUCCAUACCUCACAACCUCUGAGGAUGCCUGCCAUAGAUGUGGGCGAAACGUCAGGAGAGAAUACUUCUGGAACAUGGCCACACAGCCCGAAAGACAUACAAUAACC